AUAGACCAACUUCCAAUAGGCUCUGAGAGGUAUGUAAGUUGCGCUUUCAUCCAUUACUAUAUUCUGUUUGUAACCUUGACUUUCAGCACAAAUCCCAGUUUUGUGGCAAACAUUUGCCGGAUAGAUGAGUUGAUUUCUGGAUGGUUUUCUGAACUAAAUUGGAGACAGGGUUUAUCACCGACGUGUGCUCUCUCUCUCUCUCUCUCUCUCUCCGUAUCUGGCCUGUGCAUUGCACUGUUACUCUCUUGUCCCCUCGACUGAAUUUUCCAUCCAUUCUUGCUUUCCUCUGCCUGAUGUGCUAAUUGGAUAUUCUCCCCAGGCUGUCAUAUUGGAAUGGGAAAGCAUUCUUAUUUUCCCAUGAAUAUCUGGUCACAUAUGUGUUCAUGCUUCACAGAAGGAAGCUGAGAUACUCAUCCUGUGGAGCGAGGAAAGGGAGCGAUGCAGAGAAAGACCAACUUUCAGCAGAGCAACAGAAAGUUUGGCACCACAGCCCAGAAAGCCCUUUCCUGCACUGCCUGGAUAAGAUAAGCAGUUCAGAGUGGAACAGUUCUGAUGAACUCACAAACCCUCUUUCAGAGCAGGAGGACAGUGCGUAUCGUUCCAACAACAGUGAAGUCGCUCCGCACAAGUCCCCGGGUCCUAACCGCAGUUACCCUCCGCAGCCGAGGAAGGAGCCAGCCACAGCUCCAUUCAUGCAAACUCACUCCAAACAUGCACAGCAACCCAUCGAGAUAAAGACAACACCCUUCCAUCCCAGAGUCUUACAGGAGCACUCACAGACGGCCUCCGGAGCAUCCAGGCGAAUGGAAAUCAACGGCACCUGCCCGAGCUCAUCAGACCAGGAGAGAGGGGAGCCUGAAGAAAGACCUUGUGAUUGUGAUAAACCGUCGACUUCAGCAUCAGGAGUAGCACUGAUGACUUAUUUCUCAGUGGAUAAUUGUAUGACAGACACCUACAGACUAAGCAUCACCACCAGAGGCCGCUGGUCCUCUCCUUGCCUGAGCCCAGAGGAGCUGUGAAGGACGGGACAGACACGGGACACUGCAGCCGCGUAGAGAACCAAACCAAAAACAAGCCUGACUCUGGUGUGUUAAAGCUCCGCUGAUCUCCUCAUUCAGUCAGAGAGAGGCUAUCGUGUUCAAAAGUUUGGGCAAUAGCAACAGUAAGCCCACUGCUACAGGGCUGGAUGAAAAUGGAUAUUUGUGAAAGUUAUGGGUCAGAAAGAGAAGAUUCCUGCGGCGGCUGAUCUGGAAACCAGCAGCGUUCAUGUCCACUCACCCAUUUGCUCCAUGAACUUCUCGUAGUUCUCAUUGCGGUCGACUUUCCAGGUCCCGUUGAAGGUCAU